AAUAAAUAUACAUCAUUGUAAAACCUGCAAUAAAACAUUCCUCGCUACGCUCCGAAUCAAAAUAUGUCAAUAAUAAUAAUAUACCUAUAACUAAAUGCGGGUAUCGGGGAGAUGGGAAUAUCCUGAGUGCGUCCAUUUUUUUAUUUUUACUUUUUUAUAGGCCGAGCGCGUCCACAUAUCCGUAUAAGAUUCUUAGACUAAGGUCGGGGCCACUCC